UUUCUAAAAGGAUUGCCUUAAGGCUGACAAACACCUUUUGCUCAUCAGCUAGGUAGAAAUAAUAUCCUUUGGUCUCUUUUGGGUACCCUAUGAAAUUACACUUAUCAGACCUAGGUCCAAGCUUGUCCGUAAUUAAACGUUUAACAUAAACCGGACACCCCCAAACCCUAAGGUGCGAGAGUAUUGGCUUACGUCCUAUCUAUAUCUCAUAU
rnacentral:lncRNA from 1 species